CCUACGGGAGGCAGCAGUGGGGAAUAUUGGACAAUGGGCGCAAGCCUGAUCCAGCGACGCCGCGUGAAGGAAGAAGUCUUUCGGUAUGUAAACUUCUAUUAGCAGGGAGGAAAAUGACGGUACCUGUCUAAGAAUCCCCGGCUAACUACGUCACAGCAGCCGCGGCAAUACGUAGGGGGCAAGCGUUAUCCGGAUUUACUGGGUGUAAAGGGAGCGUAGGCGGGGCAGCAAGUCAGAAGUGAAAGCCCGGGGCUCAACUCCGGGACUGCUUUUGAAACUGUUGAACUAGAUUGCAGGAGAGGUAGGUGGAAUUCCUAGUGUAGCGGUGAAAUGCGUAGAUAUUAGGAGGAACACCAGUGGCGAAGGCGGCUUACUGGACUGUAAAUGACGCUGAGGCGCGAAAGCGUGGGGAGCAAACAGGAUUAGAUACCCUUGUAGUC
rnacentral:rRNA from 1 species